rnacentral:rRNA from 1 species
CCUACGGGCGGCAGCAGUGAGGAAUAUUGGUCAAUGGACGAGAGUCUGAACCAGCCAAGUAGCGUGAAGGAUGACUGCCCUAUGGGUUGUAAACUUCUUUUAUAUGGGAAUAAAAUGUUCCACGUGUGGGAUUUUGUAUGUACCAUAUGAAUAAGGAUCGGCUAACUCCGUGCCAGCAGCCGCGGUAAUACGGAGGAUCCGAGCGUUAUCCGGAUUUAUUGGGUUUAAAGGGAGCGUAGGUGGAUUGUUAAGGCAGUUGUGAAAGUUUGCGGCUCAACCGUAAAAUUGCAGUUGAAACUGGCAGUCUUGAGUACAGUAGAGGUGGGCGGAAUUCGUGGUGUAGCGGUGAAAGGCUUAGAUAUCACGAAGAACUCCGAUUGCGAAGGCAGCUCACUGGACUGCAACUGACACUGAGGCUCGAAAGUGUGGGUAUCAAACAGGAUUAGAUACCCCUGUAGUC